GAUGAAGAACGUAGCGAAAUGCGAUACUUGGUGUGAAUUGCAGAAUCCCGUGAACCAUCGAGUCUUUGAACGCAAGUUGCGCCCGAAGCCAUUAGGCCGAGGGCACGCCUGCCUGGGCGUCACACGUCGUUGCCCCCCCAUCUACUCCUUCGGGAUUGCGGGGGGCGGAUGAUGGCCUCCCGUGCGCCUCGUCGCGCGGUUGGCAUAAAUGCCAAGUCCUCGGCGACGCACGCCACGACAAUCGGUGGUUGCGAAACCUCGGUUGCCCGUCGUGUGCGGUCGUCGCGCAUCGAGGGCUCGAAAAAAUUGCCGGGCUCCGGCUCGGCUUUCAACGCGACCCCAGGUCAGGCGGGGUUACCCGCUGAAUUUAAGCAUAUCAAUAAGCGGAAGA
rnacentral:misc_RNA from 1 species